ensembl:lincRNA
UAUGGGCACCUGUGGUCUAAAUCCUACAACACCAGAGAUGACAGCAAAUACCACACGCUAAAGCAACGAGCUGUAGUAACACGAGGCUGCAAUUCAGCUGCGUGGGUCAGGGGAAGUGGUCGGUUCUUGGUUUUGGAACCAGACGGCCCCCUCUGGAGCCCAGAUUCUGCCACUUACCUUAGGAGGCGAGGUCUUUUUCUGUGCCUCACUUUGCUGACAAGCGGAGAUGAUCAUCACCAAGGGGCUAACGCUGGCAAAGUGGUUAAAACAUCACCGACCAAAGGAAGAUCCUUUGUCAUUUUUGUUGACUUCUCAGGUGGCAAUGGAAGAGAGGAAAUGACAGCACCUGGUGCACUGCUUGGGGAAGCAGGAAACCGGGUGCAUUUAAAGGAAGGGGCAGCGCGAGGCAGCCACGCACAGGUGUCGGCGUGUACUUUGCUCUCCGAGAUAAGCGAAGCCUGUGCCUAUUUAAACGUGGGUGGCAAAGGGGCCAGCGGACAGGAAGACGGGAGAGAGCGGGCGGCGUGGGAGCAGGAUGAUCUGCAGCUUGGACACCGGAGAUUCGAGAAGUAGUGAAUGAAGAUCAAAGAAAUUUGACUCUUGGCUCAAGACCCUGCAAAUACAAGUCACUUUUCCCUCUCCUCUAGAGCCUGACUUUUAAUCACCACAGUGUUCUAUUUUGGUUUGGCUCUGCCCAGAAGUUGUGAAAGGAUCAGCUGAGAUAAUUUCUGUGACAACAUCCUAUAAUUUUUAACACUGUACUCAUUCGCCAAAUAUUUAUUUCACCCUUGGCACAUGCCCUGCCCUGGAGUAGAAAUGAAGAUGAAUUAUGCAGUCGGCAUCUGGAGGUUCUUUGUCUAGUAGCGGGGACACAAACAUCUGAAAAUGGCAGUAAAAACGGAGCUUAUUUUUUUCUUAGGACAGGGGUCAGAGAAAAUUUGAAGAUGCUCCUUGCUCAAAUACACUAAAAUAUGAGUAGAAGUUUUUUUCAGCAGAAACUGCGUUACAGGACAUGGAAAGAAGGUGGGAGCAACAAGAGAAAAGAUAGGAAAUUGGUAAACACAAGACACCUCAGACCUGAGCAGUCAGCUACUGUGGCAAAAAUAUAGGAUGUGGGAUGUCAAGUUGUAGAACAAAAACUCAGAAAGAAGCAUGCAUUGGGGCCAGAUUAUAAAGGAGUUUGGAAUUCUGAAUUUUCUUCAUUGGGCUAAUGGAAUGGUUAAACCUAGGCAAAUACAUACUACUGACAAGAGAGUCACAAUAAUUAUCUCUGUGACAGUAGUAAUGAAGAGUAUUUAUUGAAAACUUGAUCUGUGUUAAUAAGUGCAUUCACACAUGCCAGAUUUACUUAAUCUUCACAGUUACCUGGGAGGCGGGGUAGGGACUGUGUUUACUCCCUGCACAGUGCGCUUAGCCACACUCCUGUACUACCAGGAUAGUAAUGACUCCAGAAUAUCCACACAGUGGGCCUCUAGCCAAGGAAAUCCUCCUGAAAGAGAGGGUGUGGGCUUACAUCAACUGUUUGGGGUUUUGUUUUGUCCUCUGAAUUCGAGUCGAUGUGACAAGCACAGUGUUUCUUCUUGACUCAUCUGCACUGACUUUCGAGGACACUGGUAAAGAUAGAGAUGUUAAAGUUUUCCAUUACAAAACGUUCUCAGGACAUCGACACUGUAGAGUGAAAUAGAAGACAGGGUGAAAUUACAAGGCUUGUGAACCAGGAUUAGUACAUUUGGUACCUCAGCAAAGCUAUUGGAGGAUGCCAAUUCAGUAUGGGUUGAAUGGUAGUAACAUGAUCAGCUCAACACAUAGCAGGAACCCAAGCAUGGAUCAUCUUACUUAUAUAUGUUCUCUCAUGUUCUGUGUGACAACGGACACAGGAUGUAACAAGUUGUGCCUUUGUCCCAUGCAUAGGAAGUCAGCAGAGAGUUUAACACUAGACAUUUACUCUGGACAUUAACUGCUACCCUAAAGCAAACUAAACCUCAGGGGCAAAAGCAGCCCUUGUUCCAGAAAAACAUUCUGCCAGAAAGAAACCUUGCAUCACCAUAAAUAGGACAGUGAGGUCUGGGGACGGGGUCCUGUUGCCAUCGCUAGCCUUGUAAUUCCCUUCUUUCGCCACACUUGGAAACAAGAUGUACUAGGUCAAAUAUCCUCAGUGCCAGACUUAGGGGGUAUUUCUCAGAGAUCCAUGAAUUUCCUUGGGAGGUUUCUUUCAGCAAAUAUUUAUUUGACUGAAGGGAAGAAUUCAGAAAUUUGGACAAGAACUUGGAUGUAUCAGGCAGAUCCUAUUGCUUCAAGCUGCACAGUUAUUUUUGUGAGAAAAAAGAAAUGAGAUAAGUCAAACAGUUACCAAGAUUUGGCUGCAAAAAAACUAAAGAAUUUUCAAAAAGUUGCUAAAGGUAUAGAGGUCAAGGUGAAAGAUAAAUUACCCUUCUGCACACAGGGGUUCUUCUCAUCUGCAAUUUUGCUUUCCAUGUGUCCCUUAUUCACAGUCAACUGUGGUACAACAUUAUGAAGUGGAAAUGUCCAGAAAAUAAACAAUUUAAAUUCUGAGUGGCAUGAGGAAGUUUCACAUCAUCCUGCUCCAUCCUACCCUGCAGGUGAAUCCUCACUUGCUCCACCACACCCGCACUGCGUAUUACGGUUACCAGACCCUGGGGGCCCGGGGGCCCUUUGCAGGCUGUUGCCAUCCCAUUCAAAGAAUCAGACAGGACAACUGAAGAUUGUGAAAGUUUAACAUUUAUUAAGGUAAAAGAAGAAGAAGAGAAGGUUCUCUGAAGAAAAGAAAGGGAGAAGAGAAAACAUUCCAUGCACACAAGAGUGGGCGGCUGCAAAAGGAAGAGGGAGCAGCCAUGGACCGUGAGGCCAACGGCUGCCAUCUUUUACAGCCUUCUUCUGACACCAGGGCCGGGCUGUCUGACACAGGGCCCCAAAACCGUUCUGCCUGCAUCCCAGCUGUGAUGCACCUGAGAGGUCAAACCCAUUAUUCCAGCCAGCUUGUCAUGCCCUAAUCUCCUGCCUCAUUACCAACUAGUGUAAACGAUACUAUUACAGACAAAGACUGUAUUCAUGUGGAUUCAUUUUUUCAAGUUUUAUUAGUUCAAAUUUGCAGUACAUAAUGAUUACCUUCCUUAUAUUAUGAUAAUUUUUCUAUUUUAUUAUUACAAAAUGUUAAUCUCUUGCUGUAUGUGAUUUAAAAAUUAAAUAAUGUCAUAGAUAUUUAUAAGGAACAACAUAGUAUGUAUAGGGUUUAGGUGUCAACAAGGAGUCUUGGAAUAUGUCCUCUUCAGAUAAGGGGGAUUACUAUAUUCAUUUGUCAAGAGCUAUCAAUUUUCAUUAUACUUAAAUUUGUAUAAUCUGUUUAUGUUGAUUACACCUCAAUAAAACUAUAAAAACAGAAAGUAGGAACACAGCAAAGGGUUCUUCUCUUAAAUGUUUCAGAUCAAAUAUAAGUAUUAGAGGACUUAUCUGUUAGUGUCAAGGACCCAACCUCUGGCUUAUCAUCCUCCAAUCCUCUACAAGUGGCUUUCGUUUUCAGAUUCCAAAGAGCUGUCCUAGCUCCUGCCAUUGUGUCCACAUAGCCAGUGGACAAGAAGUGGAAGACUGACCCUUGCUUUUAGCGUAAGUGGGACACUAAACACAUCUGCCAACAUGUCAUUGAGCCAAGCUGCAACGAACAUAAACACAGGAAAUUUCACUUUAACCAAUCCAGUAAAUAAGCUAUUGAUCCUGUUAUCAUUUCUAUAAAGGUUAUGGAUCAGAAAUACUCUCCACUUUAGCUUUCUUUUGUAAGACGAGAGGAGGUAGGUGUUAAAUUGAAGAAGAAAGAAAUGGUCUCCUAAAUGCUGCGGAGUUCAAAACUGGGUGGAUGGUAAAAAGAUGUGGAGCCAGGGAUUUAGCCCCAUGGUUCCACCACCUGCCUUGCAAGCACAGGGACCCAAGUUCAAUCCCCGGUACCAAAAAUAAAUAAAUAAAUAAAAGAGGUGGAAAGGCU